GGACCAUCAUGUCGGUCGUGCCUCGGUACGUACUGGUAUUGUUAGUUUCUCCCUCCUGACGAACCCUGAUGUCAUUAAUUUGGUGUUUUGGGGAAUCAGGACUGUUACUUUGAAAAAAUUAGAGUGUUUAAAGCAGGCUCACGCUUGAAUACAUUAGCAUGGAAUAAUGAAAUAGGACGUUUGAUCCUAUUUUGUUGGUUUCUAGGAUUGACGUA
rnacentral:rRNA from 1 species